UACAGGGGGUGCAAACGUUGCUCGGAAUUAUUGGGCGUAAAGAGCUCGUAGGCGGUUUGUUGCGUCGGCUGUGAAAUCCCGAGGCUCAACCUCGGGUCUGCAGUCGAUACGAGCAAACUAGAGUGUUGCAGGGGAGACUGGAAUUCCUGGUGUAGCGGUGAAAUGCGCAGAUAUCAGGAGGAACACCAGUGGCGAAGGCGGCUCACUGGACCGGUACUGACGCUGAGGCGCGAAAGCGUGGGGAGCAAACAGG
rnacentral:rRNA from 1 species